GACGAACGCUGGCGGUGUGCCUCACACAUGCAAGUCGAGCGGACGAAGAUUGAAGCUUGCUUCAGUCCUAGUUAGCGGCGGACGGGUGAGUAGCACGUAGGAAUCUGCCUUCAGGCGGGGGACAACGGAACGAAAGUUGCGCUAAUACCCCAUAUGCGAGUAAUCGUAAAAGGAGCAAUCCACCGGAAGAUGAGCCUGCGUCCGAUUAGCUAGUUGGUAGGGUAAAAGCCUACCAAGGCUACGAUCGGUAGUUGGUCUGAGAGGAUGAUCAGCCACAAUGGAACCGAGACACGGUCCAUACUCCUACGGGAGGCAGCAGUGGGGAAUUUUACGCAAUGGGCGAAAGCCUGACGUAGCGACACCGCGUGAGCGAAGAAGCCUUUUGGGGUGUAAAGCUCUGUCAGCUGGAACGAACACAAUGACGGUACCAGCAGAGGAAGCAUCGGCUAACUACGUG
rnacentral:rRNA from 1 species